GGGGAAAGCAGGGGACCUUCGGGCCUUGCGCUAUCAGAUGAGCCUAGGUCGGAUUAGCUAGUUGGUGAGGUAAUGGCUCACCAAGGCGACGAUCCGUAACUGGUCUGAGAGGAUGAUCAGUCACACUGGAACUGAGACACGGUCCAGACUCCUACGGGAGGCAGCAGUGGGGAAUAUUGGACAAUGGGCGGAAGCCUGAUCCAGCAACGCCGCGUGAGGGAUGACGGCCUUCGGGUUGUAAACCUCUUUCAGCAGGGACGAAGCGCAAGUGACGGUACCUGCAGAAGAAGCACCGGCUAACUACGUGCCAGCAGCCGCGGUGAUACGUAGGGUGCGAGCGUUGUCCGGAAUUACUGGGCGUAAAGAGCUCGUAGGUGGUUUGUCGCGUCGUCUGUGAAAUUCCGGGGCUUAACUCCGGGCGUGCAGGCGAUACGGGCAUAACUUGAGUACUGUAGGGGUAACUGGAAUUCCUGGUGUAGCGGUGAAAUGCGCAGAUAUCAGGAGGAACACCGAUGGCGAAGGCAGGUCUCUGGGCUGUAACUGACGCUGAGGAGCGAAAGCAUGGGGAGCGAACAGGAUUAGAUACCCUGGUAGUCCAUGCCGUAAACGUUGGGCACUAGGUGUGGGGGACAUUCCACGUUUUCCGCGCCGUAGCUAACGCAUUAAGUGCCCCGCCUGGGGAGUACGGCCGCAAGGCUAAAACUCAAAGGAAUUGACGGGGCCCCGCACAAGCGGCGGAGCAUGCGGAUUAAUUCGAUGCAACGCGUAGAACCUUACCUGGGUUUGACAUGGAUCGGGAGUGCUCAGAGAUGGGUGUGCCUCUUUUGGGGUCGGUUCACAGGUGGUGCAUGGCUGUCGUCAGCUCGUGUCGUGAGAUGUUGGGUUAAGUCCCGCAACGAGUGCAACCCUUGUUCAC
rnacentral:rRNA from 1 species